CAAGAGAGAUAAGAGGUUGAUAAAAUGUUACUGUGGAAAAUUUCAUAUACUCAACACAACUCAGCAUCCUCUGGAGCCUCAUCAGCCACACUGCUCCUGUGACUAGACAAUGAAGCUCCACUAGCACCCUCAUCUUCUGCUUCUUCCUCCUCCUCAUCAUCUUCACCUUGUGCAACAUGAAUCCCCUGUUCUCCUUCUCUAUUAUAUCGACAAUCUGCUGAAAACAGUAAGAGAACAGCUGGAAUGCUGAAGAAUAAUGACCAACUGAGCCUGACUAUUGACUCCAUUUCCAAUGCUAGAGCUCCUACUACUGUUUGGGCAAAAGGCAGGAACCAGGCUUGUGAAGAUGAGGAUAGCUAAUGAGAAAUUGUCUAAGGCAAGUAAAACAUCUGCAAAGCAGAAAAGACCGUUUCUAUAGUAUAACUAGGAUGAUUACUGUCUUUCU